CAAUAGGGAGUCGUGACUGUGUUGAUCAGGCAAGAUUGACACGUCAAUCAAUCGAAUACUAAUACUCAACAGACAAAAGAAUGUUAAAGCUUUCUUAAGAAAAGAAGAAUUUUGGAAGAUGUCACUGCGAGCGAAAGCUUUAAAUUUCCAGUUCGAAACCAGAUGUUCUCAGGACAGAACUGAAGCUUUGGCGUCCAAUCUGGAGAACUGCUUAAAAUCAUUCGAGACGGAAUUCCAUAAUGGAGCCCAUGUGGUCAAUGAUGCCUUAAAAAAACAAAAAAAUAUCCAGAAGAGCAAUUAUAACUGCUCUUUCAAAUUGCUUCCUCGCAGUGUCUUAGUGUAUAUAUUACACUAAUAUAUUACGCUAUACACUAAGCUGCGAGCUUCAUCCUGGAAGGAUUCCACGCGAAGGAUUCUGACGGACGAUUUUCUAAAUUUUAAGGCCAAUUUGGAAUUUGCAAUUUGGAAUGACACGUCGGUUCACUUUAAAGUACAUAUUGAGAUGGACUAUAUGUUUCCCAAAAUUUAAAGACCAGAGUCACAAAAUUUGAAAGAUCGCUUAUAAAAUAGAGGACGAGUCCACUUCUGCAGCCAUCAUCCACUCUUUUCACUAGAAUUGCGGAAUCCAACAUCUUCGAGCUACACUUACCAAAUUUGGAAGGUAGUUUACCUCCAUAGAACGAAUCCACGAUUAAUCCCGCAUCCGAAUAAUUGUUACACUGGUAUCGUCCGCCUGCA
rnacentral:sRNA from 1 species